rnacentral:rRNA from 1 species
UACGUAGGGUGCGAGCGUUUAAUCGGAAUUACUGGGCGUAAAGAGCGCGCAGGCGGUCGUCCAAGUCGAAUGUGAAAGCCCCCGGCUCAACUGGGGAGGGUCAUUCGAUACUGUUCGACUCGAAGGCAGGAGAGGGAAGUGGAAUUCCCGGUGUAGCGGUGAAAUGCGCAGAUAUCGGGAAGAACACCCGUGGCGAAGGCGGUUCUCUGGGACGGUACUGGACGCUGAGACGCGAAAGCGUGGGGAGCGAACAGG